AUGAAACUUCGUGCCCAGUCUCACACCCUCUUCUCCUUCCCUGAUUGCCUGGUGGACAUUCACACUUCGUAUACCCCUAGUCCUUCUACUCCUACUACUACUAUUGCUCCACCACCCUGCCAUCGCAGCCUGACACUGCAGAAGCCAGCUCUUGAGGACCUGCUCCUGGGUUCAGAUGCCAGCAUCACAUGCACCCUGAGUGGCCUGAGAAACCCUGAGGGAGCCGUCUUCACCUGGGAUCCCACCACCGGGAAGAAAGCAGUGCAGAAGGAUCCCGUGCAGGACCCCUGUGGCUGCUACAGUGUGUCCAGCAUCCUGCCUGGCUGUGCUGAGCAAUGGAACAGUGGAACAACCUUCACAUGCACAGCUACCCAUUCUGAGACUGGCACCUUAACUGGAACAAUUGUCAAAGCCACACCAGUACACGCCUUCCCACCCCAGGUCCACCUGCUACCGCCGCCGUCGGAGGAGCUGGCCCUGAAUGAGCUCGUGUCCCUGACGUGCCUUGUGCGAGGAUUCAACCCAAAAGAAGUGCUGGUGCGCUGGUUACAUGGAAAUGAGGAGCUGCCCUCUGACAGCUACUUAGUGUUUGAGCCCCUAAAGGAGCCAAACGGGGGAGCCACCACCUACCUGGUGACAAGCGUGCUGCGCGUGUCAGCUGAAAUCUGGAAACAGGGUGACCGGUACUCCUGCAUGGUGGGCCACGAGGCCUUGCCCAUGAACUUCACCCAGAAGACCAUCGACCGUCUGUCGGGUAAACCCACCAACGUCAACGUGUCUGUGAUCAUGUCAGAGGAGAUGGCAUCUGCUACUGAGCCACCCUGCCUGUCCCUACUCCUUGAAUAAAC